GUAUUCUAGGACCCAUCUUUUUUGCUUUUACAUGGAUGGAUGGAUGGAUGGAUGGAUAUACAAUUAGAUGAGAAAUAGGAUGGAUAGAUAGAGGGAAAGAUGUUGGAUGGGUAUAUGGAUAAAUUAAUAAAACAGAUACCUAGAUAAUACGUGGAAUAAUGGAUGGAUAUGAAGAGAAAGGAGAAGUAGCAUAGAUAGAUACAUAGAUCAUAGGUGGAAAUAUGGAUGAUAUGUAAAUAGAUGGGAAAUGGAAUACAAUAGAAUAGAAUAGAUACAUAGAUAAUAGAUGGAAACAGAUGUAUGGGUAUGAUAAAUAGGGUGGACAGAUCGAUAGAAAAAGAUAUAUGGGUGAUGGGUGGGUGGAUGGAUACGAAAUUAGAUAGAUGGGCAGAUAGGAUGAAAAUAUGGCUGAUGGAUAGAUAGGAAAGUAGGUGUAGGUGAUAGGUGAUAUAUAAGUAAUGACAUAUGGUAGAUGGGAUGAUAGAAAAAUAGGGCUAGCAGGAUGGAAAGAUAAAUGAGAAAUACAUAAAAAUGGAAAGAAAAAUAUAGAGAGAUGGUAGAUGAUAUGCUAGAAGAUGGACAAUAAAUUAAUGAUAAAUAAGUAGAUAUAAAAAAUUGAGUCAUAGAUGACAUAUUCAUGACAAAUAUGUUAGAUGAUGGGGAAAUAUAUGAAUAGAUAAAUAAUGAUACUUGAUAAAUAGAAGAUAGAUAAUAAUGACUGAAAGAUGGGAGAAAUAAUGACAGAGGAUGUAGAUGAGAGAGAGGCUAGAUCACACUUUCUGUAGAUUGAUAGGUACUGAUCUAUCUGCACAGAGGAAAGACUGCUUAGCCCGCUGUUCUAUGGGUUCAGUUGCCAGAGCAUUGGGCUCUGAAGUCUGCAAGUCAGGUGACUUCAUUGUGGUUGUGCAGUCCAGCGCUAUCACCUCCAUUAACCAGGGAGCCAGAGCUGCCGCUUUAACCCCGGAGGAAGCAGUCAGUCCACUGGGAUUUUUCAUUCCCGCUUCACUUUAGCUGAGAUGUUCAGUUGGAUUGAUUGUGAUCAGACAGCUCUUGGAAGAUCCUGCUCCUCGUUGUGGACAGUGUCCUUACUCUGGCCUCAGACAAUAGCCACAUCCUUUCUCUCUUCUACAGAUAGACAUUUGAGUGUGCUGACAAAAAAACUCAGAUUUAAAGACACCUCCCAUGCCAUUUUCUGCUCUGGGUAAAUCGUGAUUAACUCCUAACUAAUCACGUCUGCGGAACUGUUUUUGUGGUAUUGAGGAAUGAGUUCAGGGCCUUUGCACUGUACUCCAUAGGGUUUAUAUCGACCAUUUAUUGCAUACUUUUUAAAUCAGAACAUUGUACUUGCCUUUGAUGUUUGUCUCUGGUGAACUCUAAUAAUAACUUCUCAUUUUCUUUUACUAAUUCGUGUUUAUUUUAUUUGUGAAAAAUAACCUGUAAUUCUCUGCUACAAUCUAUAAAAACUCUUUAUCAUGAAUGUAUUAGAUUUUUUUUAAUACUUCUUCAGAACUCAGUGAUGUUCUUUUACAAUGCAGAGUGGACGUGUUUGGGGGCACUGAGAUUGAACAGGAAGGAAGUGCCAAAAGAUUUGCGAAAGAAAAAUUGAAAGAGGGAGAAAUAUUAGCACAUCAGAGAGGAAAACCCUGUGUUAGGAAACGGAGACACAAAAGAAAGUUUCCUUCUUGUCAACUCUUCAUAAUACAGAAAUGAUAGAACUUGAAGGAAGAAGCAAAACUAAAAAAAUUCAAAUAGUGGUCAGUGAUUGUAGUAAUUCCAUGGGUGGUGUUGAUGGAUGAGGAACAUCUAACAAGCCUGUCCUCCAAUCAGAAAGCGAGGAAAAAACAUUAUUAUCAAUGUUUAUGCACCUUCUGGACCAAACAAUAUGGAACUAUUGCUAUUUAUUCAAAACAAAGGGGUUCAAAAAGUCAUUUACAACUUAGAGUAGGUCUAAUAGACCAAAUAAUUGAAAAAUACGGGAUAGCAAAACUCAAUAGGAAUGUCCAUCAUCAAGGUCUAUACCAUUAUAUUUGGUGGGUAGACAUUUAAUUGAAAUUAUGUCACCCACAGAAAAAAGGGAAAAAACUGCAGGAUGAUAUAAAGUGUGUUGUUCAAAGAAAGACAAUAAUGCAAAAAGAAUUUGGAAAGAGACUAGAUAAUACUGUCUAGAUUGUAACAUUGCAUUUUUGACUGUUUUAAGAUAUACCAUACACAGAAAAAUUACUGAAUAAAUUUGAACAAAAUUGUUAUUUUUCUAUUUCCUGUUAUGUAAUCUUAUAAAAAUUAAUGAAAAAAAAUGAAAGUUUUGGCCACCUUGUAUUUACAUAAUUGGAGUGGUAAGUGGUUAAAUUUUGAGGCAGUCUUGCUCAGUUGUCCAGUCUGAGCUGGAGUUUCUCCUGCUUCAGCCUCCCAUAGUGCUGGGAUUACAGAAGUGCUAUGCCACCACUUCCAGCUCUGCAAGUGUGUUCUGGACCACAUGGAUUCCUAUUGCUAUCACCUUGCUAUGCCAGUAACUCUCUAUUUCUCUCCAGUAGCAGGACCCCAAAUUUUUUCCAACACUCCUUUGAGACAUCUUUUUUUUUUUUAUCUUCUAAGUGCCUCCCUAUUAAUGGGUACAAAGUAGGAAUAGGUUUAGCCUUCUAAGUCAUUCCAUGUUCAACUAGCUAAAUUUACUUUGUAUUUCAUGAAAAUCUUCAUAUGGCUUGCAAUUAGACCACAUCAUCAUAUUAGCAUCCCUGAGCCACCGGUGGUGUUUGCUAAAUAUGAAUUUCACUCACUGCAUUUCAUUUUCAUUGUUUCCAUGGUCUUCCAACCUCCCCCCCCUUUUUUCCCCUGGAGUGACCAGUUAUCCUCCACGUGUUGGGUAAAUAUUCCAAUAGUCCUUCCAUGCAAAUCGCUGAUAUAGAUGGUUGAAUAGAGUAGACAGCACAGUGUCAAAAUCCUUUGGCAGAUGGGACAACCCUGCAGCCAGCUCUUCUGUACAGCAUUUGUUCUAGACAACCAUGAUUCAUAGAGACUAUACCAAGAGAUUGCCAGAUUCCACCCUCGAACAAAUUCAUCCUCCAGUUGAUACAAAGAGAGAGAAGUCUGGUAACAUGACCUUAAAACACAGGAGCCCGGCAUCUUUUCUAGAGAUCUCAGGAUGGUACCCACCGAUUUCCAGGUAUCUUUCUACCUGCAUACAAGUCAUUUAUAGAAAUACUAAUUCAGAAAUCUCAUGUAUGCAAGGCAAUUGAGUUAACUACUCCAUCCUUUCUAACAUGUUCCCUGGUUUACUUAAAAUGAUGUGGUUGUUUGUUGAAACUGCACUGAAUGCUGCUCUGAUCAGGAAAUGUUUCUGUGGACAUUUACUUAAUGAUCAUGGCAGAGCCUGUGCCUGUAUUAGUCAGCUUUACUCUGUGUUGCAUAAGCACUGGUUAAGACUGAAUGUUCCUGAUCCCCACAGUUGUCACCCCCACCCCCCACCCCCCGGGAUGGUGUUAGGAGGUGGGGGCUCUGGGAGAUGAUGAGAUCCGGAGGGUGGAGCCUCAUGAAUGGGAUCCGCAUCCUCAUCACAGAGACCCCAGAGGGCUCCCUGCCCCUCCCACCAAGCAAGGACACAACAAUCAGGCACCAUCUACGACCCACGACCCACGAAGCAGCUCUCACCAGACUGGGAAUCUGCCACUAUUUGACCUGGAACUUUCAGCCUCCAUGGCUGUCCAAAACGUUGUUUAUGAGCCAGCCAGUCUAUGGUACUUUGGUAUAGCAGCCAAUAUACACUAAAACAGGAACAUUUAAACAAAUACAGAUCUGCCACCGGCUAAUGAAGUAGAAUUAUAUCUACUGUCAAGUAUACUCGUGUUGUUCGAACUUGGAUCUUCUUGGUUUAUUAUUGUUAAAACUGUCUGUCUGCAAGUGAUGAUAAACUUGAGCUUGCAUUAA